GACGGAGGGUGCUAGCGUUGUUCGGAAUUACUGGGCGUAAAGGGCGCGUAGGCGGCCCUGUCAGUCGGGUGUGAAAGCCCGGGGCUCAACCCCGGAACGGCACCCGAGACGGCGGGGCUGGAGACCGGGAGAGGAGGGUGGAAUAGCCAGUGUAGAGGUGAAAUUCGUAGAUAUUGGCUGGAACACCGGUGGCGAAGGCGGAUCUCUGGGCCUUACCUGACGCUCAGGCGCGAAAGCUAGGGGAGCGAACAGG
rnacentral:rRNA from 1 species